rnacentral:rRNA from 1 species
AGGUGGUUUGGGUUACCAUUUCAGGAUGGCCCCGGGGCGCAUUAGUUAGUUGGUGAGGUAACGGCUCACCAAGGCGACGAUGCGUAGCCGACCUGAGAGGGUGAUCGGCCACACUGGGACUGAGACACGGCCCAGACUCCUACGGGAGGCAGCAGUAGGGAAUCUUCCGCAAUGGACGAAAGUCUGACGGAGCAACGCCGCGUGAGUGAUGAAGGUUUUCGGAUCGUAAAGCUCUGUUGUUAGGGAAGAACAAGUGCCGUUCAAAUAGGGCGGCACCUUGACGGUACCUAACCAGAAAGCCACGGCUAACUACGUGCCAGCAGCCGCGGUAAUACGUAGGUGGCAAGCGUUGUCCGGAAUUAUUGGGCGUAAAGGGCUCCAGGCGGUUUCUUAAGUCUGAUGUGAAAGCCCCCGGCUCAACCGGGGAGGGUCAUUGGAAACUGGGGAACUUGAGUGCAGAAGAGGAGAGUGGAAUUCCACGUGUAGCGGUGAAAUGCGUAGAGAUGUGGAGGAACACCAGUGGCGAAGGCGACUCUCUGGUCUGUAACUGACGCUGAGGAGCGAAAGCGUGGGGAGCGAACAGGAUUAGAUACCCUGGUAGUCCACGCCGUAAACGAUGAGUGCUAAGUGUUAGGGGGUUUCCGCCCCUUAGUGCUGCAGCUAACGCAUUAAGCACUCCGCCUGGGGAGUACGGUCGCAAGACUGAAACUCAAAGGAAUUGACGGGGGCCCGCACAAGCGGUGGAGCAUGUGGUUUAAUUCGAAGCAACGCGAAGAACCUUACCAGGUCUUGACAUCCUCUGACAAUCCUAGAGAUAGGACGUCCCCUUCGGGGGCAGAGUGACAGGUGGUGCAUGGUUGUCGUCAGCUCGUGUCGUGAGAUGUUGGGUUAAGUCCCGCAACGAGCGCAACCCUUGAUCUUAGUUGCCAGCAUUCAGUUGGGCACUCUAAGGUGACUGCCGGUGACAAACCGGAGGAAGGUGGGGAUGACGUCAAAUCAUCAUGCCCCUUAUGACCUGGGCUACACACGUGCUACAAUGGACAGAACAAAGGGCAGCGAAACCGCGAGGUUAAGCCAAUCCCACAAAUCUGUUCUCAGUUCGGAUCGCAGUCUGCAACUCGACUGCGUGAAGCUGGAAUCGCUAGUAAUCGCGG